UGGUCAUUACCAAGGCUUUUAGAAUGCAAUUUCUCAUUUGUGGUGGACAUGACAAUAAAAUAAACUUCCCACUAGGAUUUCUAUCUGCUACCUUGCUCGUAAUCAGCCUUUUGGGAACAUUU